AUUGAACGCUGGCGGAAUGCUUUACACAUGCAAGUCGAACGGUAGAGGGGGCAACCCCUUGAGAGUGGCGAACGGGUGAGUAAUAUAUCGGAACGUGCCCAGUCGUGGGGGAUAACGUAGCGAAAGUUACGCUAAUACCGCAUACGAUCUGUGGAUGAAAGCGGGGGACCUUCGGGCCUCGCGCGAUUAGAGCGGCUGAUAUCAGAUUAGGUAGUUGGUGGGGUAAAGGCCCACCAAGCCGACGAUCUGUAGCUGGUCUGAGAGGACGACCAGCCACACUGGUACUGAGACACGGACCAGACUCCUACGGGAGGCAGCAGUAGGGAAUAUUGGUCAAUGGAGGCAACUCUGAACCAGCCAUGCCGCGUGCAGGAAGACUGCCCUAUGGGUUGUAAACUGCUUUUGUACGGGAAGAAAUGUUACUACGUGUAGUAAUUUGACGGUACCGUAAGAAUAAGGAUCGGCUAACUUCGUG
rnacentral:rRNA from 1 species